GAUGAACGCUAGCGGCAGGCCUAAUACAUGCAAGUCGAACGGGAUUCCAGUGUAGCUUGCUAUACUGGAUGAGAGUGGCGCACGGGUGCGUAACGCGUGAGCAACCUACCCAUAUCAGGGGGAUAGCCCGGAGAAAUUCGGAUUAACACCGCAUAAGAUUACCAGAACGGCAUCGUUCAGUGAUCAAAUA
rnacentral:rRNA from 1 species